CGCGUAUUCCUGGGGUCCGUGUUGCUCUUUUUCAUAACAUUGCUGAAUUUUUUCAUGAUUUUAGGUUUAAGGAAACUCUUUGUGAAUGUAAGUCCUUUCUCCUAUUCAAUGUCCAAAUGAAAUUUCCAUAUCACCUGGAAGUGCCGUAUAUGUUUUCAACUAAUAGAACAGAAAGCAAAUAAUAUGUAUGUGGCCAAUGAAAGGACCAAAAAGGAAAAAAAAAAAAGUUUCUAGGAAGAGCAAACACUGGAAAGAGCAGUGAGAGAUGUUAUGCCUCACCAUCUACAGCCCCAGCUCUACCCCUUAAUAUCAUCUUAUUGUUGUCACUGAAAAAAGACUAACUGCAAAAUCUGACUUGUUGCCUAAAUUGUACUAUCUUUGUACAUUCAGAGAUUCUAUGUCUCUUAGAUUAUUUAAAAUUAAUGACUAUAUGUUACUUCACUGUCCUUUGUUGUGUAUAAUGUCACUAAACUUUGCUGUGUUUUAAACUUCCCAGAUCCCUUUUUAACAACGAUGUUGAGACUUCAAAAAACCUACAUCCCCUCUUCUUGUCGCCCAGGAUUCCUGUGAUUCCCAGCAGCACCACCCAGCUCCCAGGGGCUCUGUCAGGCGCUUCCGUGCUGUUUCAAAGGACCUAAGUUUGGUUUCCAAAAGCACCGACAUCUCUCCGCCCCUCCCAGUGCUCAGAAAAUGAGUUUCCAACCCCUUGGUUUGCUGGCUUUGGCCAGCGCCCAGGCUCUGUGGUGUGGAAGGGAGCCACGAGCUGGGGCGGAGGCGCUCUCCUCCCCGCCCACUGGAGUCGCUGGUCUGGAGGUGGUGUGGACGCUGCCCUCCCACGCCUCAGGGAGCCUCUGGCGUCGGGGCUGGAAGAUUGCAGGCUCUUCCCCUGGGCCUCACCUGAAAGAGCAGGUCUGAUCUCCCGGAGCAUAAUGAAGAUAACAGAGCUGGUGUUUGCUGCUUCAAACACCAGAAAUCUCACUGUGUGGUCUUAAACAAAAACUCAGAGGAAGGAGAGAAAGAAGACAAAAUGCUUUGAAUUUAAUGGAAGUUCAUGUACACAUCUCCAUGUGAUUAAUAAUAGGCAGUUUGUGAAUCAACAUCAUCUCCCACAAUUGUUUCAUUAUCUUCCAGGACCGCCUAAGCCUUUAUCAGACUCAAGCUGUCCCCUCACACAAGAAAGCUCCUUUUAAUGGUGGGGUCAGCUUUGAUGACUGGCUCUGCCUGGCCGGAGCGAUGGCAGUUGCUGACGUCCCUGCAUGAGAACACGUCAUCUCAGCAAUUUCUGCCAUUGGUCAGAGCUUCAGGUGCCUCUGGCAAUUUGAUGUUUGUCACUUCCAGGUAUUGGCCAAUUGUUCUCCAGAAUGGAUUCCUACUAGCAAGAAAAUAAGAGUUCCUGUUGCUACACAUUUUUCUCAACAUUCAGU